GCAUCUGUGGCUCAGUGGAUAGAGUAGAGGCUUCCGAAGCCUUUGGUCGGGGGUUCGAAUCCCUCCAGGUGCA
rfam:Clostridium sp. CAG:62 genomic scaffold, scf125